rnacentral:rRNA from 1 species
UGGGGAAUUGUUCGCAAUGGGCGCAAGCCUGACGACGCAACGCCGCGUGGAGGAUGAAGGUCUUCGGAUUGUAAACUCCUGUUGCUCGGGACGAAAAGCACCGACCUAACACGUCGGAGUCUGACGGUACCGAGUGAGGAAGCCCCGGCUAACUCUGUGCCAGCAGCCGCGGUAAUACAGAGGGGGCAAGCGUUGUUCGGAAUUACUGGGCGUAAAGGGCGCGUAGGCGGCCUGCUAAGUCGAACGUGAAAUCCCUGGGCUCAACCCAGGAACUGCGUCCGAUACUGGUUGGCUUGAAUCCGGGAGAGGGAUGUGGAAUUCCAGGUGUAGCGGUGAAAUGCGUAGAUAUCUGGAGGAACACCGGUGGCGAAGGCGACAUCCUGGACCGGUAUUGACGCUGAGGCGCGAAAGCCAGGGGAGCAAACGGG